CUAUGUGCCAGCAGCCGCGGUAAUACAUAGGGUGCAAGCGUUGUCCGGAAUUAUUGGGCGUAAAGAGCUCGUAGGUGGUUUAUCACGUCGGAUGUGAAAUUCUGAGGCUCAACCUCGGACCUGCAUUCGAUACGGGCAAACUAGAGUGUGGUAGGGGAGGCUGGAAUUCCUGGUGUAGCGGUGGAAUGCGCAGAUAUCAGGAGGAACACCAAUGGCGAAGGCAGGUCUCUGGGCCAUUACUGACACUGAGGAGCGAAAGCGCGGGGAGCGAACAGGAUUAGAUACCCCUGGUAGUCCGCGCCCGUAAACGGUGGGCACUAGUUGUGGGAACCUUCCACGGUUUCCGCGACGCAGCUAACGCAUUAAGUGCCCCGCCUGGGGAGUACGAUCGCAAGAUUAAAACUCAAAGGAAUUGACGGGGCCCCCGCACAAGCAGCGGAGCAUGCGGCUUAAUUUCGACGCAACGCGAAGAAACCCUUACCCAAGGCUUG
rnacentral:rRNA from 1 species